rnacentral:tmRNA from 1 species
GGGGGCGUAAAGGUUUCGACGGGGGCUUUGAGGUAUAUAUAGCGGGUAGAAGCGCCCAGCCUUCUAUAAAAUGGGCAAAAACAAUAAAUGCUAACGAUAAUUUAGCUUACGCGGCCUAAUUAGGCCUGCCGUCCUGCCGAAGAGUACCGUGGCUUCGGAUUUGGGCGUCGAUUAACGGUGAACGAUGACGGAAGCUUCUUCCGUACCGCCAUUGUAUCAGGAAGAUACCGCUUGCGGCGGCUUGGCUGUCGUCUGCCGCAGGCGGGAAGCUUAAACAACAGCCUGCACCCGGAGAAGUAUAUAUGGAUUGGCUUUCGGACGCGGGUUCGACUCCCGCCGCCUCCACCA